rnacentral:ncRNA from 2 species
CGGAAGGGCACCACCAGGA